rnacentral:rRNA from 1 species
UACGGGGGGAGCAAGCGUUGUUCGGAUUUACUGGGCGUAAAGGGCGCGUAGGCGGCCACCGCAAGUCGAUUGUGAAAUCUCCGGGCUUAACCCGGAAAGGUCAACCGAUACUGCGGGGCUAGAGUGCAGAAGGGGCAACUGGAAUUCUCGGUGUAGCGGUGAAAUGCGUAGAUAUCGAGAGGAACGCCUGCGGCGAAGGCGGGUUGCUGGGCUGACACUGACGCUGAAGUGCGAAAGCUAGGGGAGCGAACGGG